AGUGAACGCUGGCGGUAGGCCUAACACAUGCAAGUCGAACGGCAGCACAGUAAGAGCUUGCUCUUACGGGUGGCGAGUGGCGGACGGGUGAGGAAUACAUCGGAAUCUACUUUUUCGUGGGGGAUAACGUAGGGAAACUUACGCUAAUACCGCAUACGACCUACGGGUGAAAGCAGGGGAUCUUCGGACCUUGCGUGAUUGAAUGAGCCGAUGUCGGAUUAGCUAGUUGGCGGGGUAAAGGCCCACCAAGGCGACGAUCCGUAGCUGGUCUGAGAGGAUGAUCAGCCACCCUGGAACUGAGACACGGUCCAGACUCCUACGGGAGGCAGCAGUGGGGAAUAUUGGACAAUGGGCGCAAGCCUGAUCCAGCCAUACCGCGUGGGUGAAGAAGGCCUUCGGGUUGUAAAGCCCUUUUGUUGGGAAAGAAAAGCAGCAGGUUAAUACCCCGCUGUUCUGACGGUACCCAAAGAAUAAGCACCGGCUAACUUCGUG
rnacentral:rRNA from 1 species